GGAAAUUUUACAGCGGAAAAAAGUUGCUCAAUCUUGAAUAAAAAUAUGAAACUAUUUCAAUUAUUAUUUCUAGUUGUUUGCAUUGUUGCUAGUGCAAUGGCUGCUCCAGGAGGUAAUAUAAUCAGUGGAGUCCAUAACAAUGGUGUUAUUAUUCAAGGCAAUAUGGAUGUGAAUACUCACUGAAAUUAACUCAAUGUGUUAGAUUAAUUAUAAUUAUUUUACAUAUACAAAUUCUAUUUAAUUUGAAUAAAAAUGUUAAUAUUUAAGGCUUUAUUCAUUAUCACUUGAAGGUAAUUGAAUCAAUAUAGAGUCCGAUAGUUUAAUAA